UCGAUGUCAAGAAUGUAAGAUUCAAAUUCCUUGCAAGUCUCGGAGUUGAUUUAUAUAAUUUUUAGACCUUAAAACCUUCAAAAAUCCUGAGAACUCGAACCCCAGAUUUCAUGCAUUGUUCAUGCACUAAUUAAUGUGAGGUUUUAGGAUUUUUUAAAGGCAUAUGAAGCUUUAAAUUGUCUUCACGAAGCUGGAAGAAUAAAAAUGAAGUGAUUUGGACGUCGGAAAGUUGAGAUAUGACGAGUUGCAGGUUUAGCUGGAAUAUCGAAGGAAUUUCCGGCAAGUUCCAUCGGUUUUAGGACCUUUGAAAGUUUCCGGUGAACGACGACGGCGACGGCGACCGAUAAGGCUAACCGGAGAAGAAGAUAGAAUAUUUCGUCAAAGUUGACGGAAUAUUCUGAUGUCAUCAGGGUUGACUUAUCUCGAGGACGAGCGCAGUCAAGGGUGAC